ACCCUUCAGUUCCCUUUCCCAUCGGAUCUCAACACGGGUCUUGGUGGUCAUAAAAGGAGGAAAAGUAAAACUGAAGCUGGCCUCUCAGCUCUGUAGCAUGUGGGCUAGUUUCAAACAAAG